GCCUCUCUCAGUAUUCUCUGGAAGUCUGCAUGCACCUGUAUGUUUCAGCUCUCACCAGUAUCUCUCAUUCCUACUGGUUUAUCAGUGUUGUCAUGUUAGCAGCUCAUGCAGCAGUCAGCAGGAGAGAGGCAGAACUGGACUUCAUAGACUCAAAACAAAAACUCAGAGCAGAGGAAUUGUGUUUGGAGAGCUUUUGCAUCCAUCUUGAGACGUAACAAAUCUGAGGAACAAACUUGCCUUGCUGGAAUGAAGGACAUGACAACAUGCAGACUUUUAUGGAAAAGGGUGACUGUAAGAACUUCUCUUGCGGAAUGGAGAGCACCUACCAUGUUCCACUGGUUUCUUAAUUUACGCUGAAGCACUGGCCUACAUUACUCUUCAAGCCUGAGUUCAUCUGAUUCCAGACGACAUUUGACCAUCAGGUUUAGCCUGUGCCCUCAUGGUAUGUUGGCGAUCUAAAUUACUUAUUUAUUUAUUUAUUUAUUACUUUUCUUUCUGAUGAUGAUUUCUAAUCUCUUAACAUAUACAUGAUUAUUUUACUGUAGUGCAUGUCUUUUGAUGGUGUUUUCUAUUUGAUUCCUUGUCAAAUAUUGUCUUGUUUUAAUGGCUGUUGGUAAUGUCCAGGGAGAGAAAUUAUGAAAAUGCAUAAUUUAUCAGAAUUAACAUGAAUCUGGCAAUAAAUCUUGUAGUCUUAGUUCAGAAUACAUCUUGAAUUUAUUGUAGAAUUAUCUGCGGUAUUUCUAUUGG